AUUUCUCUCAUCCCCAACUCUCUCACUAUCUCUCUUCACCACUAAAGGGUUAUGCGUGUUGCAUGUUGUGACCCUCUUUCUCUUAGCAGCAAAAGCAUCGACUCUUUAAGGCUCUCCUUCUUCUCUCUUCUUCGAUGUUACAGGCAGAACAUCUCUAGGUAAGAAGCUGAAGCUGGAAGGUUGCAUGCGAAUGUUGCAUGAGGGGAUAAAGAUGAGAUUUGGGGUUGUUACUGAAUGGUGACUGGUGAACCUUACUGGUGAAAGAUGAGAUUCAUAAGGAAGUGUUCUUACAAUGACCUUACUGAGCAUAAGCUGAUCGACAAACCUCUAACCUUUUAAACCUGAGACACCCGAUGAUGAAAAAGAACAGCCUCCUAAUGGUGGUGUGGUGGAAAAUCAACAUCAUGUGCAUCACCAUUUGGAAUGCUAUUUCUUUUGACUGCAGUUUUGAGUCCUACAAAAGCAGGCCCCUGUGUUCCUGAACGAGGAAGAGGGACCUUAGACAUGCAAGUGUAAGUUUGAGUACUCUAAUAAGUCUCUGACUUUAAUUAUGUGCCUUUUUGAGAUUGUAACAUGUUUAAAUUCCAAUAGUAUAUGAUUUGUUUGACUUAGAUGGCCAUACUAAUAAUUUAUGUUUUUAUCGGUUUUUAACCGUGUUUUACAUUCAAAUUUUGAGUUUUUUCGAUAAGAACAAGAUGUUUUCUCGGUGUUUUCGUACUAUUUCUUAUACUUUCAGGUUCUAAGAUGUUUUGGAGAGAAA